rnacentral:piRNA from 1 species
UAGUUUCAGAAAAUGAAGCCUCAAGGAAUA